GUACGUGUGGCUUAGUGGUUAGAGUGUCAGGCUAGGACCUUGGAGAUCAAAGUUCAAAUCUCUGCUCAGCCA